GGGCGUGGCACCAGCGUCCCCGCCUUCUUUCCCCCAAAGCGAGGGUGGGGAUUGCCGCCAACUUCGCGCGCUGGCCGGGGUGUCUGGCGCGUCUGCGCACGCGCUCGAGGAAGACCGUUGGCUUCGGCAGAGGGCGCACACGCGUAAAGGGCGGGUCUUUAGGGGCGCCCUGUCAACCCGGGCAGUCGCAGUAGGCGCCAAGGCGAGCGCGGGAAGAGCGAGAGCGGGAAGGUGGCUGCGCCCGGACCGUCGUCUGGAGGUUUCCGCGUCGGGCCCGCAGAGGACAGGAGAGAAGGGGCGGUCGCCAGUGUCAAGAAGCAGCCCCCAGGACUUCGGUGCUGCCACCCGAGCUUCCUUCACAGGAGCGACUUCCCGAAUUAGAGGUUGUCGGGGGCUCCCCGAACCUGGAAGUCGCGGCGACAACGCCACGAAAUAUUGCGGGGCGCUGGUUCUGUACCUGGAGGUGUUCCUCACACAGAAAAAGGAUCGAACUCGGGACCUGGCGUUUGUGAGGCAGCCGGUGGCACCACUGAGCUAAAUCCCCGGGGUGUCUUGUGUUUUCACUGGCCGAGUUUGGCAACCCUCGAGACUGAGCACUUGUGUUUAAACCCUAGUUGUGCUGCUGAGAAUACUGUGGGAGAAACCAAAACAUGGCUGUAAAACAAGGAGGAAUAACAAGAUUGCCUGUCCCUCAGGGAGAAGGGUGUACACAAGGAACUGAAAAUGGGCUCUGCAGCCGAGCAGGAGUGGGCUCCUUUCCAGACCAAGCAUGGCGAUGCGCGCUCCUCAAGGCCCAGCCUGCGUGUCCACCCUAGUGCCACCCCACCUGCAAGGUGCCAGCCACCACUGAACGCAUUCUGUGCACUCCUGUCUUCCAGCCCUUGUCCAUGAAUGUGUUCCUCAGCACGGCCUGUUCCUGUCCCCGUGACUGCCUGUCAGACAGUGCAUUUGUCUCUGAAGUCACAUCCCAGGUCACUGUCACGAACAUCUGUGAGCUUCCUCCCUGGCCAGCCAUGGUCAAAGGCACCACAACUACUAUUCCUUAAUCCCAUUUCCCGAAAGGGGUGUGGAAAGGCUAAGUUAUUUGUCUCGGGCCACAUGGCUAUUAGGUGACAAAGCUUUGAUUAAAACUUGGAGUUGAACUCUG